rnacentral:tRNA from 1 species
GGGAUUAGUUAAAUGGUAUAACAUUUGCCUUCCAAGCAAAGGUCAGGAGUUCGAUUCCCCUAUCCC